rnacentral:rRNA from 1 species
UACGUAGGUGGCAAGCGUUGUCCGGAAUUAUUGGGCGUAAAGCGCGCGCAGGCGGUCCUUUAAGUCUGAUGUGAAAGCCCACGGCUCAACCGUGGAGGGUCAUUGGAAACUGGGGGACUUGAGUGCAGGAGAGAAGAGUGGAAUUCCACGUGUAGCGGUGAAAUGCGUAGAUAUCUGGAGGAACACCGGUGGCGAAGGCGGCAUCCCGGACCGACACUGACGCUGAGGAGCGAAAGCCAGGGGAGCAAACGGG